GUUAAUUGUUAAAAUCGCGAUUAGGAAAUUUUGCUUGUAUGUGCUAACGGUAUUAUUUAUCCUAAUCCAUAUGUGUAGAUAUUGACUUUAACAGCUUCUGACUAAAAGACGAUUACAAAUGAUGAAGUGUGCUGCUCUGAUCUUGCUUUGCUGUGUUAUGUUUCUCAGCAUUGAUCCAACAAGUGCUUUAUAUAAAAGUAGAUUUAUCAGUCCAAAACAAAUGGACGGUCACAAAUUCGACGAUCAGCUGUUGCGGAGAAUUGCAAGAGAGAAUUUGAACCUGCUGCACAAAGAAUUUUAGGGUGUGGCUAAAAUGCAUGUGAACACACUUCCUAUUUAACUGUUGUGUUCGAGAAAUAAAAGUAAUAAAACGUA